rnacentral:lncRNA from 1 species
CUCCUGCUGCUCCGCGGGGCAGCCCCCGCCCCCGUCUGCUGGUUGUUCUCCGCGUACCCUGCUCAUUAGCUGUCCGUUUUAGAGGAGAAUGCGCGAUCCGUUGCUCUCUGGGAGGAUUUAGGCAUAUCAACCUUACCGAUUGGAUACGCAAAGCCUCUCUGCGAAUUUGUAGUUGUUUAGCCUGUAGAUUGAAUUGGUGGGAUGCGAAAAUGCCGCUGAGGCAACACAAUUGAUGGGAUGGAACAGCUUUGUAUUGAAUGGGCACGGUGAUAUGUCACGGGUUUCCAACUGUGGCAUUAAUUCGAUUGGUUAGCCUCCUUAUCAAUUACAAGGGCUGUUCUUUGUUUCUACUUCCUUCUAAGGGCACAUUUGAU